rnacentral:lncRNA from 1 species
AUAAAUAUUGUACAGGAUCCAGGGAUUCGGCAAAUCCAUGAGGGCUAUUUCUAUUUUUUUUAGUUUUUUUCUCUCUGUUUAUUUAAAGUUGUCUCUGAAACAGCCCCCUCAGAAGCAGAUUUUAGGACAGCCUCUUUUAUGAUCUCUUUUUUUAAAUGACGCAACUGUCAAAUGGUCUUCGGUGCAGCAGAAGCUGCCUCACUUUGCACUGUAAAUACACUCGAGCCUUUUAAAAUCUCUCUAGUUCACACAUUCGCCUGUGAGGUGUCUUAGAAAGUUGUUGUUCUGCAAUUGUGCCCUACAGUCGACUAAUUUCUUCUUUCUUUCCCUCUUGUUCCCCCCUCUCUCUUCUGUCUCUCCUCUCCCUUUUCUUUGCUCCUUCUCUUUGCAGUUUGACGUGCUGAAGUGCUUCUUAAGGAGAAUUCUGGGGAGAUUUCUUGUUCUUUCAUUCCUCAAGGAUGAGGCAGCACAGUGGACCUGUGUGCUGAAACACCUCCCACUUUUAAACUUCAUGUUCCAGGAUGAACCAUGAGCAAAGGUUGUGAGGGCCUGUUUCUAUCGUCCUGUCGUACAGUGAGGCAGU